CCAAAAGCUUCACCUAUAAAGCUUCAACCCUUCAACACCAAAGCUUCACCUAUAAAGCUUCAACACCAAAGCUUUACCUAUAAAGCUUCAAUCCCAAAGUUUCACCUAUAAAGUUUCAAACACAAAUCUUCACCUACAAUACAACAUUUCAACACCAAAACAUAUAAAAGCUUCACACACUCUUCAUCAAGAUAGUGCGAAGCUAAUUCAAGUUUUGUGUCCUAAAAAUAGCUUCAACUAGUCACGCUAUAUACCCAAACAAAAAUAUAUAGUCAAUAAACCUUACCUAUUAAACUAUUUUCCAAACACAAAACCUUGUGGCAAAUAAACAAAUUUUGUUCACAAAACCAAGAUUCUCUUGAA
rnacentral:lncRNA from 1 species